AAACACAGAUCCUGGUGCCGAACAUGAGGACAGGGCAGGCCGAAGGAGAAAGUGGAAGGAGGGGAGCUUCUCUCUCAGCCUCAUCCUUCUGGGCCUGGAUGCUGGAGAGUCAUGAGGUGCUUCAGAGUACUCUGGGUGAGGAGGGAAAGAUGGUGCCCACCACAUGGAGGCCAGCCUAGGUCUUGUAUGAAACCUGUGAGCUCUCAUGAACCAGUACAGGCCUGCUUCAGCAUAGCACUGGGUCCAAAGGAAAAGAAGAAAAUGCUGAGUGUGUGGGUGGAACAUCUAACCUCUUCGGACGUACAAGGCUCCUGCCUAUGUCAUCCUUUCCCCUGGCAUGGCAGCAGAUGCAACUCUGGAGUGGGGGAAGAGGGCGGGAAGAGAGCCUGUGCUGCUGAGCACCUACCAGGACUUGUCAGGGCCCAGGCACCCUAUGAAACACCUUAUGUUGGUUAUCCCACACCAAGCUCGCAAACCUCUGAGGUAGGCAACUUUGUCACAGAGAGAGGCUGAGUAACAAGCCCAAAGUCAAACAGCCAAGAAGAGACAGAACUGUAUUAAACUUAUCUACUGGACCCCAAA
rnacentral:lncRNA from 10 species